AAGUCGUAACAAGGUUUCCGUAGGUGAACCUGCGGAAGGAUCAUUACCGAGUGAGGGCCCUCUGGGUCCAACCUCCCACCCGUGUUUAUUUUACCUUGUUGCUUCGGCGGGCCCGCCUUAACUGGCCGCCGGGGGGCUCACGCCCCCGGGCCCGCGCCGCCGAAGACACCCUCGAACUCUGUCUGAAGAUUGAAGUCUGAGUGAAAUAUAAAUUAUUUAAAA
rnacentral:misc_RNA from 1 species